rnacentral:rRNA from 1 species
UACGUAGGGUGCGAGCGUUAAUCGGAAUUACUGGGCGUAAAGCGUGCGCAGGCGGUUUUGUAAGCCAGAUGUGAAAUCCCCGGGCUUAACCUGGGAGUGGCAUUUGGGACUGCAAGGCUGGAGUUUGGCAGAGGAGACUGGAAUUCCUGGUGUAGCAGUGAAAUGCGUAGAUAUCAGGAGGAACACCGAUGGCGAAGGCAGGUCUCUGGGCUGACACUGACGCUCAUGCACGAAAGCGUGGGGAGCAAACAGG